rnacentral:rRNA from 1 species
UACGUAGGGUCCGAGCGUUGUCCGGAAUUAUUGGGCGUAAAGGGCUCGUAGGCGGUUUGUCGCGUCGGGAGUGAAAACAUCUGGCUUAACUGGGGGCGUGCGGGCGAUACGGGCAGACUGGAGUACUGCAGGGGAGACUGGAAUUCCUGGUGUAGCGGUGGAAUGCGCAGAUAUCAGGAGGAACACCGGUGGCGAAGGCGGGUCUCUGGGCCGUUACUGACGCUGAGGAGCGAAAGCGUGGGGAGCGAACAGG